rnacentral:ncRNA from 1 species
CAAAGGGGUGCCUUAAAUGGCUGAGAUUAUACCCUCGAACCUGAUGCAGUUAGUACUGCCGUAGGAAUUGUGGAUAAUA